UAGAGACCGGCGCACGGGUGCGUAACGCGUAUGCAAUCUACCUUUUACAGAGGGAUAGCCCAGAGAAAUUUGGAUUAAUACCUCAUAGUAUUAUGAAAUGGCAUCAUUUUAUAAUUAAAGUCACAACGGUAAAAGAUGAGCAUGCGUCCCAUUAGCUAGUUGGUAAGGUAACGGCUUACCAAGGCUACGAUGGGUAGGGGUCCUGAGAGGGAGAUCCCCCACACUGGUACUGAGACACGGACCAGACUCCUACGGGAGGCAGCAGUGAGGAAUAUUGGACAAUGGGCGCAAGCCUGAUCCAGCCAUGCCGCGUGCAGGAUGACGGUCCUAUGGAUUGUAAACUGCUUUUAUACGAGAAGAAACACUGCUUCGUGAAGCAGCUUGACGGUAUCGUAAGAAUAAGGAUCGGCUAACUCCGUGCCAGCAGCCGCGGUAAUACGGAGGAUCCAAGCGUUAUCCGGAAUCAUUGGGUUUAAAGGGUCCGUAGGCGGUUUGGUAAGUCAGUGGUGAAAGCCCAUCGCUCAACGGUGGAACGGCCAUUGAUACUGCCAGACUUGAAUUAUUAGGAAGUAACUAGAAUAUGUAGUGUAGCGGUGAAAUGCUUAGAGAUUACAUGGAAUACCAAUUGCGAAGGCAGGUUACUACUAAUGGAU
rnacentral:rRNA from 1 species